GUAUGGGGUCUGAACCAAAGCCCACUGAACUCAGUGGAGGUCUUUCCAUUGACUUCAGUGGGUUUUGGAUCAAUGCCAUAAUUUAC
rnacentral:pre_miRNA from 1 species